UGCGAGACUUAGAGUCACAUCUUGAUAUUUUCUGUUGUCCUGGUGUGCUAUAGUUCUCGCAAAUUAAUGCUCUGUGCUUAUUCAUUGACUGUGCCAACACUUGCCCAGUCAAUCUCCAGCUCAGAGACAGUU